ACUACAGUCUAGCCUGGGUGACAGAGCAAGACACUGUCUCAAAAGAAAAAAAAAAAGAAUUUGUGUUCGUAAUACUUUUAAAUUUUCUUUUUUUGAAAAGUAAGGUUUUUUUUUUUUUGUCCGCUUGGCCAGUCCAAAGGUCCUUUUCAUUGUCAUUGGGUGGGCCAGUUUUUCUCCUCCCAUCUUCUAUGAUGCAUGUAUGUUUUGGGUCAAUGAUCCUCUGGUGAUCUCUUUUCCUUAGGUUUAAUGUAACUUUUCCUCUUGCAUGCCAGUUUCAUGUUUUCUCACAGAAGUACUGGGAAAGGAUCUUCAUAUUUAACUUUAUUUAUUUAUUUAUUUAUUUUUGAGACAGUCUUGCUCUGUUGCCCAGGCUGGAGUGCAGUGGCGUCAUCUUGGCUCACUGCAACCUCCGCCUCCUGGGUUCAAGUGAUUCUUGUGCCUCAGCAUCCUGAGUAGCUGGGACUACAGGAUAGAAAAAUAAUACAUGCCAAAAGAAAUUUGAGGAACAAAUUCAGCCCUGAGACAGGUCACGGAAACAGCCCUCCAGUCUUCCUCAAGAAAUGUAGACUGAAUCAGCAUUUACCCACCCCUGGAAAAACGCAGGAGCUGCGCAUUCCUGGGAUCUCAGCAGGGCUUUUGGGAAGAGCAGAACUGGGCUGGAGUCACGGUUUCUGGGCUGACUCUAGAUUUUCCCCGGCUUUUGCCACCUGUGAUGGCUGGAGAGUAUCUGAAGAUGACAGCCAGUGUCCUUAGCUUGUGAAGAUUGGAUGAUGGCCGGGGCCCUCAGACCCCUUGGCCCCUCCUUAACUGCAGGUCUUCAAAAGCCCAACACCUGUUCGUCAUUUCUGUGGCUUCCCAGGGAGUCUUACUCUUCUGCUUCAAGCUGCUGGGUUUGACUCUGAGCAGUUUCUGUGCAGCCACAAAGAUUCUUAUGUGAGACACACUGCUGCUUCAGAGUGCUCCAACCCAUCUCCCCUGAUUAAACACUAACCAGGGCUGCCACAGCAAAGUGGCUCAAAUGGGUGACGUCAACAACAGAUUUACUUUCUCAUAGUUCUGGAGGCAGGUGUCUAGGAUCAAGGUGGUGGCAAGGCUAUUCCUUCUGUUGCCUCCCUCCUUGCCUUGUGGAUGACCGUCUUCUCCGCGUCUUUCCAAGAUCUCUCCUCUGUGCAUGUCAGUGUCCUUGCUUCCUCUUCUUAUGAAGACACCGGUCAUGUUGGAAUGCAACAGAAGAGAGUGCACGGCUUCUGAGGUUGCAGCUUUUGGGAGAAGCCAUCUACCAUUGAUGACAGACAUGCCGUGUGGAAACCAAACCAGCCAUGUGGAGAGGCUACCUGGACAGAGGCACAGGGCCAGCAGCAGCUGUGGAGACAGACAUGUGAGCAAAGAAAUCAUCUUUGAUGUACAGCCAAGUUGAGCCUUCAGAUGACUCCGAUUUCAGCCACCUUUGGACUGCAACCACAUGAAAGACUCUAAAUAGAAGCCUCCCAGCUGAUCCCGGUUAACCCACAGUGCUGAAGGGGAUAAUAAUAAAUUGUUGUUUUAAGCC
ensembl:lncRNA LINC01823 long intergenic non-protein coding RNA 1823